GCAAGUCGAGGGGUAACAUUUGUGCUUGCACAAGAUGACGACCGGCGCACGGGUGCGCACCGCGUAUGGAACCUGCCUUGUACAGGGGAAUAGCCCAGGGAAACUUGGAUUAAUGCCCCGUAGUACCGUAUUUCGGCAUCGUUAUACGGUUAAAUCCUCGGGCGGUACAAGAUGGCCAUGCGUACCAUUAGCUAGUUGGUAAGGUAACGGCUUACCAAGGCUACGAUGGGUAGGGGGCCUGAGAGGGGAGUC
rnacentral:rRNA from 1 species